CAUUACUGAGUUAGGGUCUUUCUGGCCCGACCUCCAAACCCUUUGUUUAUUAUACCAUGUUGCUUUGGCGGGCCUGCCCCUUUGGGGCUGCCGGGGGCAUCACCGCCCCUGAUCCGUGCCUGUCAGGAGCCUUCCUUAAAUUCGGUGUUAAUUGUGCUGUCUGAGUCCCGGUAUCAAAAUAUACAAAACUUUCAACAACGGAUCUCUUGGUUCUGGCAUCGAUGAAGAACGCAGCGAAAUGCGAUAAGUAAUGCGAAUUGCAGAAUUCAGUGAGUCAUCGAAUCUUUGAACGCAUAUUGCGCCCUUUGGUAUUCCGAAGGGCAUGCCUGUUCGAGCGUCAUUAUCACAGUAUCAAGCCUGGCUUGUUGUUGGGCCCUUUGUCACUGGGUGACAGGUCUAAAAGAUAAUGACCGGUGUCGUACCGACCCUAUAUGCAACGAGCUUUUCACAGCACGCAUCUGGCAGUCGUGUGGCCCGGUUCUCCUCCCUUAUUUCUCAAGGUUGACCUCGGAUCAGGCAGGAAUACCC
rnacentral:rRNA from 1 species